rnacentral:rRNA from 1 species
UAAGUCCUACGGGGGGCAGCAGUGGGGAAUAUUGGGCAAUGGGCGCAAGCCUGUCCCAGCAACGCCGCGUGAAGGAAGAAGGCUUUCGGGUUGUAAACUUCUUUUCUCAGGGACGAAGAAAGUGACGGUACCUGAAGAAUAAGCCACGGCUAACUACGUGCCAGCAGCCGCGGUAAUACGUAGGUGGCAAGCGUUAUCCGGAUUUACUGGGUGUAAAGGGCGUGUAGGCGGGACUGCAAGUCAGAUGUGAAAAUCACGGGCUCAACCUGUGGCCUGCAUUUGAAACUGUAGUUCUUGAGUACUGG